UACGAAGGGGGCGAGCGUUGCUCGGAAUUACUGGGCGUAAAGGGCGCGUAGGCGGAUACUUAAGUCGGGGGUGAAAGCCCGGGGCUCAACCUCGGAAUUGCCUUCGAUACUGGGUAUCUUGAGUUCGGGAGAGGUGAGUGGAAUGCCGAGUGUAGAGGUGAAAUUCGUAGAUAUUCGGCGGAACACCAGUGGCGAAGGCGACUCACUGGCCCGAUACUGACGCUGAUGCGCGAAAGCGUGGGGAGCAAACAGG
rnacentral:rRNA from 1 species